ACGGAAGGCAGCAGUGGGGAAUAUUGCACAAUGGGGGAAACCCUGAUGCAGCGACGCCGCGUGAGCGAUGAAGUAUUUCGGUAUGUAAAGCUCUAUCAGCAGGGAAGAAAAUGACGGUACCUGACUAAGAAGCUCCGGCUAAAUACGUGCCAGCAGCCGCGGUAAUACGUAUGGAGCAAGCGUUAUCCGGAUUUACUGGGUGUAAAGGGAGCGUAGGCGGCGUGCUAAGUCUGAUGUGAAACUCCGGGGCUCAACCCCGGAACUGCAUUGGAAACUGGCAUGCUAGAGUGUCGGAGGGGUAAGCGGAAUUCCUAGUGUAGCGGUGAAAUGCGUAGAUAUUAGGAGGAACACCGGUGGCGAAGGCGGCUUACUGGACGAUAACUGACGCUGAGGCUCGAAAGCGUGGGGAGCAAACAGGAUUAGAUACCCUGGUA
rnacentral:rRNA from 1 species